GUAAAUGGCUCUAACUCCGUUUAAAUGCAAAUUCUACUGGUAAUUAAGAGGCGAACCACAGUAAGAACACUACAGGAGAUAUAUAGUCACUGGAAAGCACCUACUCUCCUAAUGAAGACUACAAGUGAAGGGGACCAAGGGGACCAUGUCUGCAGACAGUGCUGCUCCAUGAAGGCGCACAAGCUGGAGAGCAACCUGGUAAAAUGAGGAGGAACCCAGAAAAAGCAACACCUGAGUCCCAGGUCUGCCAUGCAGACAUCUGUGGCAGGAGAAGAGGCUGGACAUGGUUCCAAAAAGCUUC